UGAGGAAUAUUGGGUAAUGCCCGCAAGGGUGACCCAGCAACGCCGCGUGGAGGAUGAAUGUCGUAAGAUUGUAAACUCCUGUUAGAGGGGAAGAAUAGUACCGGUUGGACCGGUAUAUGACUGUACCCUCAGAGAAAGCCCCGGCUAACUACGUGCCAGCAGCCGCGGUAAUACGUAGGGGGCAAGCGUUGUCCGGAUUUACUGGGUGUAAAGGGUGCGCAGGCGGAUGGGUAAGUCAGGGGUGAAAGUCUGCAGCUUAACUGUAGAAUUGCCUUUGAUACUGCUCAUCUUGAGUGUGGGAGAGGUUGAUGGAAUUCCAGGUGUAGCAGUGAAAUGCGUAGAUAUCUGGAAGAACACCAGUGGCGAAGGCGGUCAACUGGCCCAUAACUGACGCUCAUGCACGAAAGCGUGGGGAGCAAACA
rnacentral:rRNA from 1 species